CUCUCUCUCUCUCUCUCUCUCUCUCUCUUCCGCAUCGGCCACGAGCCGACUGCAGUCGGCUGAGUCUACGCUCUCGAACGUCACUCGCAGCACGUAGACCGAGCCGAGCUGUCAUCCUGCCGAGAUACCACCAUUGUGGCUCCUGAUACCAGGAUUGUGACACCCUCGCCGCCGUGACAGUCGCAAUGACAGUGUGAUACUACCAGUGACCCAACCUUGGACCAUACACCGCUGGGAUUCGCCGGGAUUCCUCAGGAUGCCGUCGUGCCAGCGGUCAGGCCACUCGUUCCAGGACGACAUGGAUCCUGGGAGGACUAUCGACCGACAGGACACGUGAAACUGCGCUGGGACGUCUCCAUCCGGUGCCCAAGCAGUAGGCAACCGGACCGACGCGCCGACACGUCGGGCCUUCAAGUGCUGCGGGAUCUUCGACCGGAGCUUUUGUCUUCGUCGCUGCACCUGUUCCAGGUCCAGGCGAUCUCUUCGGGGUUGACGAACAGGGAUCCCGAAGACUGCGACCUUGUUGCUCCUCUUCGAUAAACGUAUCCGAACUUGCUGACAGCUGCAAGGAUUACGCCGGGAUGUGCGAAGUUCCGACGUUUUUCCGGAUGUCCUUGACGUCCAAGAUGAUGCUGCGUCUCGACGAGGAAUGUGAAACCCCCUGUACGUAUACUGAAUGUAUCCUGAGUGUAUUCCUGUCCGGUAUACCUUCAGUAUACGUAACAGGAGGCUGCACCGAUCUACGCUGGCUGCCAUCGCCGACGCUCUUCCGGUUCACUUCGAUAAUCCUAGAUUAGAUUAAGAGGAUCGCCGUUCGUUAGCUACGACCGCGUUUCGCCGACACAUUGUUCGACGGCCUUGAGCCAAGUGUUCGGAGACAGUUCAGGAACUUGUUCGACGUUAUGAGAUUGUUCAUUGUAGACGGUUGAUGCGUGCUGUAUCCGCGGAACGUGUUGAUGUCGUGUGGUCGAAGCGAUGGAGAAUGAUAAUUAGGGUUUAAGGUAGAUUAAGGGUCGAGAACAAAUGGUACAAGUGUGCGGAGUUUCGAGAUAAUGUUAAACACGAGAUCGAUCGAUGUUUUGGAAUUGUUGAUACUUGUUCGUAGAAUCGAAGCGAGUCUAUCUAGUCGCUUGUUUAGGAUCCUUGGAUGAGAGAAGCGAGUAGAAAUAGAAUUGUGCGGCGAUUGAUUUGUAACCCGAUGUGUGUACUUGGAGAUUGUUGCGCCGAUUCCAUUCGAUUGGACUGUGUUUGUUAUUAAAUAAACGGAUUAACAUGCAAUGCCAAGUUAUAGUGAUUGUCUUUCGGUAGGUUGCCACACGUUGAUUGCGCGAUUACAAUUUUGUUUUGGGAGUCGACGUGACGCUCGUAAAUGGUAGAUGCCUUUUUAUUAGACGUGAUAUUUAUUUAAACGAAGUAGGCAACGAUUAUGGGGGUAUAUCUAUAGUUUUUAAGAAUUUUCUGCUUCGAUCUCGUUUGAUUUCUUUGCUAUAUACCGUUUUGAGUAUUGAAAUUCAGAUCGUCCAGAUAUUUGAACUAAAAAUCGUCGGAGAUUUGAAAAUUGGAAACAAUUAAAAUAGAUUUCAUACAUUUGUAUAAUUGUUUGUAGAUUUUAUUUCAAUUUAUUCCACGCUACUGGCAGCAAUUAAAGUAGAUCUAUGAUUGGAAGAUUAAACGUUAAUCUAACUCUCUGCUUGGUCUUCUGAUAAUUGUUAUUGGAAAUUAGAACUGGAAUUUGAAAUUAAAUACUAGACGCGUCAUUGUAGAAGAUAUCGAUGCUAUUACAAUCAAGGCUAAUCACAGAUUAUACAUUAACGAUGUAAUAUAAAGCAAACUUUAACAAUUUCUUGGAUUUAGGUUCGCAUUUUUCAAAUCAGACUCGCUGCAAAUAACAAAAAUGCGAUUGUUUCCGUAAAUUGUUUCUAUAAACCGAGCGUUUAUUAUUUUUAACGACAUGCGGAGCUUUCCUGAUAAUUCUUAGUUAAUUAAGUGAUCGUGUACCUCGAUUCAUGUAACUAGACGCAGAAAUAAACGAUAAUCGCAACGAGCUCUACACGUUCGUAUCACUGUCACUGUCAUAUUCGAUCUACUUACAACGAUACAAUCAAUUAAGAUUCAACCCCUCGCGAGUUCUGUAGGAUUCUUUAAAUACUUUUUCGACUUUUAACGAUCGCGGAGGUCAAUCCUUUUAAUUAAAGAAGCUCGAAUUUAACUUUUAAAGCGUGCAAUGUAUUUUCGUCGAGUCUUCGAACGACACCUGCUAUUGUAUUCAUUGAUCCCCCGAGCCUUUAACUUAUUUUGCGUUAUCGUACCAGGUAGAAACAUCUUAGGAUUUACAAACCUUCGAACUUACACCACUGGAAUUUAUAGCAACAAAUCAUUUGUAUCUUAGACAAUGCGGUCAAAAUACUGUAACAGUUAUUAAACUUGAUUCUAAUUUCAUAGAAGAAUCAAGGCUGAUUGUUAAUUCGAGUUCGUCGAUUGUUACCAGGAUAAAGCAAUGCGACCGUACAUAAAUUACAAUCGUGUUACAAAUAAAUGCACAAUCUACAAACA